UACGUAGGGGGCAAGCGUUGUCCGGAAUCAUUGGGCGUAAAGAGCGUGUAGGCGGCCCGAUAAGUCCGCCGUGAAAUCUCGAGGCUCAACUUCGAGCUGUCGGUGGAAACUGUCUGGCUAGAGUCCGGAAGAGGAGAAUGGAAUUCCUGGUGUAGCGGUGAAAUGCGCAGAUAUCAGGAAGAACACCCGUGGCGAAGGCGGUUCUCUGGGACGGUACUGACGCUGAGACGCGAAAGCGUGGGGAGCGAACAGG
rnacentral:rRNA from 1 species